UAAAUUUGGACCAUUUUCAAGACAAAACUUGACUACAGAAUAAUAAACUACUGAACUGUUUUCUCCCCAUAUUCUUUAUUUUGAGAUAUCUUCUCCAAGGUAACCCACGUAUCAAAACAUACUUCAUACAUUGGAAAAAUUCUCCAUCAUUACAGAUGAUAAUUUGAUUUGUGAGACAUGAGACACAUUGUGUGCUUGUUUUAACAUCAAGUUAGUUGGCUAUGCUAAACGACAUUGACAGUGUUCGGUGACAAUAUUCUGCUCAAGAUUCUGCAACUUUUUGGGUCAAACUGAACAUAAUUGAAAAAAUAAUGAUCAACCUACAAUAGGGAUUAGUAGUUAGACCAAUUGCUCAAUCUUAGGCAAGAAAAAUUUAGUGCUACUGACCGUCUGUCCCAUUUUGAAGUGCUCAUGUCACAUUGUGACGUCAGUUAGCAGGUUUCAGUGGCAUUGACCAAAUUUAUUAAUUGCAUCGAGCAGGAGGUUAACUGGACUUUCCUAGGAUCCUGGAUGAUGUCUACUCUGUGGCCUUAGAAAUUGGAAGUUACCUCCACCUUCAUAACUCCCUAGACAUUUUAAUGGAUAUUUUAAUUGGCAGUCAAUAGCUUCUCACGGUUAUAGUAUCUUAAGCUCUGAUAUUAACCCUGACUUACAAGCUA
rnacentral:lncRNA from 1 species